GGCGUGGGUAGUGCGAUUGGUUAGCACGCGUCUCCGGAAAGGGUGAGAAACGGGUUCGAUUUCCGUUUAACGUCA